CGCGGGAUGGCCGAGCGGUCCAAAGCGCUGGUUUUAGGCACCAGUCCCUUCGGGGGCUUGGUUUUGAAUCCCACUCUCGUCA
rnacentral:tRNA from 1 species